GUGGUUUAAUUCGAAGCAACGCGAAGAACCUUACCAGGCCUUGACAUGCAGAGAAUUUCCAGAGAUGGAUUGGUGCCUUCGGGAACUCUGACACAGGUGCUGCAUGGCUGUCGUCAGCUCGUGUCGUGAGAUGUUGGGUUAAGUCCCGUAACGAGCGCAACCCUUGUCCUUAGUUACCAUCAUUAAGUUGGGGACUCUAGCGAGACUGCCAGUGAUAAACUGGAGGAAGGUGGGGAUGACGUCAAAUCAUCAUGCCCCUUAUGACCUGGGCUACAAACGUGAUACAAUGGCUGGAACAAAGGGAUGCGAAGCAGUGAUGUGGAGCGAAACCCAUAAAAACAGUCUCAGUUCGGAUUGAAGUCUGCAACUCGACUUCAUGAAGUCGGAAUCGCUAGUAAUCGCGGAUCAGAACGCCGCGGUGAAUACGUUCUCGGGGUUU
rnacentral:rRNA from 1 species